rnacentral:rRNA from 1 species
AGUGAACGCUGGCGGUAGGCCUAACACAUGCAAGUCGAACGGCAGCACAGUAAGAGCUUGCUCUUACGGGUGGCGAGUGGCGGACGGGUGAGGAAUACAUCGGAAUCUACUUUUUCGUGGGGGAUAACGUAGGGAAACUUACGCUAAUACCGCAUACGACCUACGGGUGAAAGCAGGGGAUCUUCGGACCUUGCGCGAUUGAAUGAGCCGAUGUCGGAUUAGCUAGUUGGCGGGGUAAAGGCCCACCAAGGCGACGAUCCGUAGCUGGUCUGAGAGGAUGAUCCGCCACACUGGAACUGAGACACGGUCCAGACCCCUAGGGGAGGCAGCAGGGGGGAAUAUUGGACAAGGGGCGCAAGCCUGAUCCAGCCAUACCGGGUGGGUGAAGAAGGCCUUCGGGUUGUAAAGCCCUUUUGUGGGGAAAAAAAAGCAGCAGGUUAAUACCCCGCUGUUCUGACGGUACCAAAAAAAUAAGCACCGGCUAACUUCGU